rnacentral:lncRNA from 1 species
AUCGGGCAUACUUACAAUGUUUCCUGCGUGCCCAGGAAGGGCUCCACGUUGUCACGUUUCGGGAAGAUGUCCAGGUAAUACAAGAUAGAAGAGAGGUCUCCACAUAAGCCCUGGAAAGAAGAAAGGAUUGGCCUGCGUUUACUUCUGAGUAAGUAGAAUUGUGAAAGAUUUUAUUAGGAACAACCUGCCAACC